GGCAUGAUUACCUGUACCCGAAACCGACACAGGUGGGGUGGUAGAGAAUACCGAGGGGCGCGAGGUAACUCUCUCUAAGGAACUCGGCAAAAUGACCCCGUAACUUUGGGAGAAGGGGUGCCAGCGCGAGCUGGUCGCAGUGAAUAGGCCCAGGCGACUGUUUACCAAAAACACAGGUCUCCGCUAAGUCGCAAGACGAUGUAUGGGGGCUGACGCCUGCCCAGUGCCGGAAGGUUAAAGAAGUUGGUCAGCGCAAGCGAAGCUAACGACUGAAGCCCCGGUGAACGGCGGCCGUAACAAUAACGGUCCUAAGGUAGCGAAAUUCCUUGUCGGGUAAGUUCCGACCCGCACGAAAGGCGUAACGAUCUGGGCGCUGUCUCGGAGAGAGGCUCGGCGAAAUAGAAUUGUCUGUGAAGAUGCGGACUACGUGCACCCGGACAGAAAGACCCUAUGAAGCUUUACUGUAGCUUGGUAUUGUGCUCGGGCUCGCAAUGCGCAGGAUAGGUGGGAGGCUUUGAUCCACUGCUUGUGGGUGAUGGUGAGCCACUGGUGAGAUACCACUCUUUGCGAGCUAGGGUUCUAACGGUUACCCGUCAUCCGGGAACCGGACAGUAUCUGGUGGGCAGUUUGACUGGGGCGGUCGCCUCCUAAAAGGUAACGGAGGCGCGCAAAGGUUUGCUCAGGCUGGUUGGAAAUCAGCCGACGAGUGUAAAAGCAGAAGCAAGCUUGACUGUGAGACCUACAAGUCGAACAGGGAGGAAACUCGGCUUUAGUGAUCCGACGGUUCUGAGUGGAAGGGCCGUCGCUCAACGGAUAAAAGUUACUCUAAGGAUAACAGGCUGAUCUCCCCCAAGAGUUCACAUCGACGGAGAGGUUUGGCACCUCGAUGUCGGCUCAUCGCAACCUGGGGCUGAAGUCGGUCCCAAGGGUUGGGCUUUCGCCCAUUAAAGCGGUACGCGAGCUGGGUUCAGAACGUCGUGAGACAGUUCGGUCCAUAUCCGGUGCAUGCGCAGGAAUAUUGAGAGGUUUUCUCCCUAGUACGAGAGGACCGGGAGGAACGCACCUCUGGUGUACCAGUUAUCGUGCCAACGGUAAACGCUGGGUAGCCAUGUGCGGAGUGGAUAACCGCUGAAAGCAUCUAAGUGGGAAGCCCACCUCAAGAUGAGUAUUCCCAUGGCUUAAGCCAGUAAGGUCACGGGAAGAACACCCGUUGAUAGGCUCUAUGUGGAAGCGCAGUAAUGCGUGAAGCAGAGGAGUACUAAUAGACCGAGGGCUUGACC
rnacentral:rRNA from 1 species